CCUGAGUUUGUGACACUAGUAUUCUUAGGGCUGAGGGUUGCAAUGGGUCGGCUUACUUCGUCUCAGCCAAAAAGAAAAGCACAACUCUCAUCUCUCACACCCAACACUGAUGGAUCUCCUGCAAUUCAAGCAUCAGUAGUGUUUGAUCUCGUCCGAUCUUUGGUGGGAAAACGACUCUGAUUUGGCAGCUUUGAUCUCUGCUCUCAACAAAGCUCUCAUUACCCAAAAGCUCAUCUGCAUGCAUGGUAUUAAUAAUGGCUCCUUAAAGAAGAAGAAGAAGGAGGAGAAGGGGGACGGGUGAUUCAAUGGAUCAAAUUCUCUCCAUUUUUCGCUGGUUGUGGGGUGAAACAGACGAUAAAAAGAACCCAAGU